UGGGGAAUAUUGCACAAUGGGCGCAAGCCUGAUGCAGCCAUGCCGCGUGUAUGAAGAAGGCCUUCGGGUUGUAAAGUACUUUCAGCGGGGAGGAAGGGAGUAAAGUUAAUACCUUUGCUCAUUGACGUUACCCGCAGAAGAAGCACCUGCUAACUCCGUGCCAGCAGCCGCGGUAAUACGGAGGGUGCAAGCGUUAAUCGGAAUUACUGGGCGUAAAGCGCACGCAGGCGGUUUGUUAAGUCAGAUGUGAAAUCCCCGGGCUCAACCUGGGAAUUGCAUCUGAUACUGGCCAGCUUGAGUAUCGUAGAGGGGGGUAGAAUUCCAGGUGUAGCGGUGAAAUGCGUAGAGAUCUGGUGGAAUACCGGUGGCGAAGGCGGCCCCCUGGACGAAGACUGACGCUCAGGUGCGACAGCGUGGGGAGCAAACAGG
rnacentral:rRNA from 1 species